AGAGUUUGAUCAUGGCUCAGAACGAACGCUGGCGGCGUGCUUAACACAUGCAAGUCGAGUGCGCGCCUGUAGCAAUACAGGUGGCGCACGGCGCACGGGUGCGUAACACGUGGGUAAUCUGCCCUCUGAUGGGGAAUAACUCGCCGAAAGGCGAGCUAAUUCCGCAUAAUAUUCCGAGAACUUUGGUUUUUGGACUGAAAGGCGUAAGUCGUCGGAGGAGGAGCCCGCGCACGAUUAGCUAGUUGGUAGGGUAAUGGCCUACCAAGGCUUUGAUCGUUAGCUGGUCUGAGAGGAUGGCCAGCCACACUGGAACUGAGACACGGUCCAGACUCCUACGGGAGGCAGCAGUGGGGAAUCUUGCACAAUGGGCGAAAGCCUGAUGCAGCGACGCCGCGUGGGGGAUGAAGCUUCUCGGAGUGUAAACCCCUUUCGAUCCGGACGAAUACCUCGCAAGAGGGGUGACGGUACGGAUAUAAGAAGCCCCGGCUAACUACGUGCCAGCAGCCGCGGUAAUACGUAGGGGGCCAGCGUUGUUCGGAAUUACUGGGUGUAAAGGGUUCGUAGGCGGUGCGGCAAGUUGGGAGUGAAAUCUCUGGGCUUAACCCAGAGACGGCUUCCAAAACUGCUGUGCUUGAGUGUGGGAGAGGCUCGUGGAAUUGCAGGUGUAGCGGUGAAAUGCGUAGAUAUCUGCAGGAACACCCGUGGCGAAAGCGGCGAGCUGGACCACUACUGACGCUGAAGAACGAAAGCUAGGGGAGCAAACAGGAUUAGAUACCCCCGUAGUCC
rnacentral:rRNA from 1 species